AUACGUAGGGGGCGAGCGUUGUCCGGAUUUAUUGGGCGUAAAGGGUGCGUAGGCGGCCUUGUAAGUCAGAUGUGAAAGAUCAUGGCUUAACUGUGGUAAGCAUUUGAAACUGCAGGGCUUGAGUACAGGAGAGGAGAGGGGAAUUCCUAGUGUAGCGGUGAAAUGCGUAGAUGUUAGGAGGAAUCCCAGUGGCGAAGGCGACUCUCAGGACUGAUACUGACGCUGAGGCACGCACGAGUGGGGAGCAAACAGGAUUAGAUUCCCCGCUAGUCCCCGCUAUAAACGAUGAGUGCUAGGUGUUGGGGGUCAAAUCUCGGUGCCGCAGUUAACACAUUAAGCUCUACGCCUGGGGAGUACGGCCGCAAGGCUGAAACUCAAAGGAAUUGACGGGG
rnacentral:rRNA from 1 species